GCCUGCAUGGCUCAGUUGGUUGAGCAUCUGACUUUGGCUCAGGUCAUGAUCUCACAGUUGGUGGGUUCAGGCCCCACAUCAGGCU
rnacentral:tRNA from 1 species